GGGGAAUCUUGCGCAAUGGGCGAAAGCCUGACGCAGCAACGCCGCGUGCGGGAUGAAGGCCUUCGGGUUGUAAACCGCUUUCAGUGGGGACGAACCAAGACGGUACCCACAGAAGAAGCCCCGGCCAACUACGUGCCAGCAGCCGCGGUAACACGUAGGGGGCAAGCGUUGUCCGGAUUUAUUGGGCGUAAAGAGCUCGUAGGUGGCUCAGUAAGUCGGGUGUGAAACCUCCAGGCUCAACCUGGAGACGCCACCCGAUACUGCUGUGGCUAGAGUCCAGUAGGGGAGCGUGGAAUUCCUGGUGUAGCGGUGAAAUGCGCAGAUAUCAGGAGGAACACCAGUGGCGAAGGCGGCGCUCUGGGCUGGAACUGACACUGAGGAGCGAAAGCGUGGGGAGCAAAC
rnacentral:rRNA from 1 species